UGGCUCUCGCAUCGAUGAAGAACGCAGCGAAAUGCGAUAAGUAAUGUGAAUUGCAGAAUUCAGUGAAUCAUCGAAUCUUUGAACGCACCUUGCGCCUUUUGGCAUUCCGAAAGGCAUGCCUGUUUGAGUGUCGUGAAAUCUCAACCCCAUCAGGUUUCUGACCUGGUAGGGCUUGGACUUGGGCGCCCUGCCAGUAAUGGCUCGCCUCAAAUGACCUAGUGGGACUAGCAUCCACAGCUAAGACAUAAUAAGUUUCGUCUGGCUCGGUGCAAGGUCUGCUGAUAACCCCCCAUACUUUUUAAUCUGACCUCAAAUCAGGUAGGGCUACCCGCUGA
rnacentral:misc_RNA from 1 species